AUUGAACGCUGGCGGCAGGCCUAACACAUGCAAGUCGAGCGGAUGAACGGAGCUUGCUCCUGGAUUCAGCGGCGGACGGGUGAGUAAUGCCUAGGAAUCUGCCUGGUAGUGGGGGAUAACGUCCGGAAACGGGCGCUAAUACCGCAUACGUCCUGAGGGAGAAAGUGGGGGAUCUUCGGACCUCACGCUAUCAGAUGAGCCUAGGUCGGAUUAGCUAGUUGGUGGGGUAAAGGCCUACCAAGGCGACGAUCCGUAACUGGUCUGAGAGGAUGAUCAGUCACACUGGAACUGAGACACGGUCCAGACUCCUACGGGAGGCAGCAGUGGGGAAUAUUGGACAAUGGGCGAAAGCCUGAUCCAGCCAUGCCGCGUGUGUGAAGAAGGUCUUCGGAUUGUAAAGCACUUUAAGUUGGGAGGAAGGGCAGUAAGUUAAUACCUUGCUGUUUUGACGUUACCAACAGAAUAAGCACCGGCUAACUUCGUG
rnacentral:rRNA from 1 species